AAGCGUACACGGUGGAUGCCUUGGCAGUCAGAGGCGAUGAAGGACGUGGUAAUCUGCGAAAAGUCUUGGGGAGCCGAUAAACAGGCCCUGAUCCAGGAAUGUCCGAAUGGGGAAACCCACUCACACAAGUGAGUAUCCUUUACCUGAAUACAU
rnacentral:rRNA from 1 species